rnacentral:rRNA from 1 species
CCUUAGAGUUUGAUCCUGGCUCAGGAUGAACGCUAGCGGCAGGCUUAACACAUGCAAGUCGAGGGGCAGCGGGGAGGAAGCUUGCUUUCUCCGCCGGCGACCGGCGCACGGGUGAGUAACACGUAUGCAACCUGCCCCUGUCAGGGGGACAACCCGCCGAAAGGCGGGCUAAACCCGCGUACAUGCCACCGGGGCAUCCCGGAGGCAGGAAAGGCUUCGGCCGGACAGGGAUGGGCAUGCGGCGCAUUAGGCAGUAGGCGGGGUAACGGCCCACCUAACCGACGAUGCGUAGGGGUUCUGAGAGGAAGGUCCCCCACACUGGUACUGAGACACGGACCAGACUCCUACGGGAGGCAGCAGUGAGGAAUAUUGGUCAAUGGACGCAAGUCUGAACCAGCCAAGUAGCGUGCAGGAUGACGGCCCUCCGGGUUGUAAACUGCUUUUGGUUGGGAAUAAAAGGGGGCUCGUGAGCCCCGUAUUGUAUGUACCAUCAGAAAAAGGACCGGCUAAUUCCGUGCCAGCAGCCGCGGUAAUACGGAAGGUCCGGGCGUUAUCCGGAUUUAUUGGGUUUAAAGGGAGCGUAGGCCGGCUUUUAAGUCAGCUGUGAAAGUCCGCGGCUCAACCGUGGAAUUGCAGUUGAAACUGGAGGCCUUGAGUGCACACAGGGAUGCCGGAAUUCAUGGUGUAGCGGUGAAAUGCUUAGAUAUCAUGAAGAACUCCGAUCGCGAAGGCAAGUGUCCGGGGUGCAACUGACGCUGAGGCUCGAAAGUGCGGGUAUCAAACAGGAUUAGAUACCCUGGUAGUCCGCACCGUAAACGAUGAAUACUCGUGUCCCGCGAUAUAUUGUGGGACACUUAGCGAAAGCGUUAAGUAUUCCACCUGGGGAGUACGCCGGCAACGGUGAAACUCAAAGGAAUUGACGGGGGCCCGCACAAGCGGAGGAACAUGUGGUUUAAUUCGAUGAUACGCGAGGAACCUUACCCGGGCUUGAAAUGUGCAGGACUCAGGCAGAGACGCCUGUUUCUUCGGACCUGCAUGUAGGUGCUGCAUGGUUGUCGCCAGCUCGUGCCGUGAGGUGUCGGCUUAAGUGCCAUAACGAGCGCAACCCUUCUCCCCGUUUGCCAUCAGUUAAUGCUGGGCACUCCGGGGACACUGCCAUCGUAAGAUGUGAGGAAGGUGGGGAUGACGUCAAAUCAGCACGGCCCUUACGUCCGGGGCUACACACGUGUUACAAUGGGGGGUACAGAGGGCCGCUAUCCCGCGAGGGUGCGCCAAUCCUCAAAACCUCUCUCAGUUCGGACUGGAGUCUGCAACCCGACUCCACGAAGCUGGAUUCGCUAGUAAUCGCGCAUCAGCCAUGGCGCGGUGAAUACGUUCCCGGGCCUUGCACACACCGCCCGUCAAG